rnacentral:rRNA from 1 species
AGGACGAACGCUGGCGGCGUGCUUAACACAUGCAAGUCGAGCGGUAAGGCCUUUCGGGGUACACGAGCGGCGAACGGGUGAGUAACACGUGGGUGAUCUGCCCUGCACUCUGGGAUAAGCCUGGGAAACUGGGUCUAAUACCGGAUAUGACCUGCUCUCGCAGUGGGGGGUGGGUGGAAAGAUUUAUCGGUGCAGGAUGGGCCCGCGGCCUAUCAGCUUGGUUGGUGGGUAAUGGCCUACCGAAGGCGACGACGGGUAGCCGACCUGAGAGGUGACCGGCCACACUGGGACUGAGACACGGCCCAGACUCCUACGGGAGGCAGCAGGUGGGAAUAUGCACAAGUGGGACGAAAGCCUGAUGCAGCGACGCCGCG